GUGGGGAAUUUUGGACAAUGGGGGCAACCCUGAUCCAGCCAUCCCGCGUGUGCGAUGAAGGCCUUCGGGUUGUAAAGCACUUUUGGCAGGGAAGAAAAGUUUCGGGCUAAUACCCUGGAGCGAUGACGGUACCUGCAGAAUAAGCACCGGCUAACUACGUGCCAGCAGCCGCGGUAAUACGUACGGUGCAAGCGUUAAUCGGAAUUACUGGGCGUAAAGCGUGCGCAGGCGGUUCGGAAAGAAAGAUGUGAAAUCCCAGGGCGUAACCUUGGAACUGCAUUUUGAACUGUCGAACUCGAGUAUGUCAGAGGGGGGUAGAAUUCCACGUGUAGCAGUGAAAUGCGUAGAGAUGUGGAGGAAUACCGAUGGCGAAGGCAGCCCCCUGGGAUAAUACUGACGCUCAUUCACGAAAGCGUGGGGAGCAAACAGGAUUAGAAACCCGUGUAGUCC
rnacentral:rRNA from 1 species